CGAGAGACGCUCUAGCUAUAUAUGCUCCUUUGCUCUCUGCUCCUCAACCAGAGGUUAGGGCUUCUGCUGUUUUUGCAUUGGGUACCCUUCUUGAUGUGGGCUCUAACUUGUGUAGAGAUGGUGUUGGAGGAGAUGAAGAAUGUGAUAAUGAUGAAAAAAUUAGAGCAGAAAUUAGUAUUAUUAAAAGCCUAUUUAGCGUAGCUUCAGAUGGAAGUCCAUUAGUCAGAGCAGAGGUUGCUGUUGCUCUAGGGAGAUUUUCCUUUGGUCACAACAAUCAUCUCAAGUCAAUUGCUGCAGCAUAUUGGAAGCAUAUUGGG